UUUUUUAAACCGGUAAACUCCUGUAAACUUUUCAGUCCAAAGAUCCAGUAAACGAAUGCCUUCAAACAUUAAAUUAAAAACAGC